rnacentral:rRNA from 1 species
GGAAUUUUCCGCAAUGGGCGAAAGCCUGACGGAGCAAUACCGCGUGAGGGAUGACGGCCUGUGGGUUGUAAACCUCUUUUCUCGAAGAAGAAGCUCUGACGGUAUUCGAGGAAUAAGCAUCGGCUAACUCCGUGCCAGCAGCCGAGGUAAUACGGAGGAUGCAAGUGUUAUUCGGAAUGAUUGGGCGUAAAGCGUCUGUAGGCUGUAUAGAAAGUCUUUUGUUAAAUGCCUCGGCUCAACCGAGAUCCAGCAAAGGAAACUUCUAUACUUGAGGGAAGUAGAGGUACAGGGAAUUCCCGGUGGAGCGGUGAAAUGCGUAGAUAUCGGGAGGAACACCAAUAUGGCGAAGGCACUGUACUGGGCUUUACCUGACGCUCAGAGACGAAAGCUAGGGUAGCAAAUGGGAUUAGAUACCCCAGUAGUC